GUAGAAAUCAGGUAAAAAUGCUAAGAUCAAUUUCCCAAGAGUAUUCAAAUCAGAAAUUAUAAUGGAAAUCAAGGUGAGAAUGUAUUUGUCUCUCUAUAUUUUGCUUUACAUACGAAUCCCUUACUAUUGUGACAUUUUCAGCUGUAUGGCAUCUAAGAAUGAUGAUCUCACUUUUGCUCCUGGAAUAGAUUCCUUUUUCUAUGCCGAGCAGCUCCAUGAAGCCUUUAAACAUAUAAAACUAAAAAAAGGUAUUACAUAAUUAAAUAAAGCUGUCUUCUAGCUUCUCCUGAAAUGGGCAAGAAAGGGAAUCAAAAGAUAACAGAAAUAAGGUUUGGUUUUGUGUUUUUCCCCCUCAGGCAGACCACUCUUCUUAGCUUAAGGUAGCAGCAUGAAUGAGAGUGAUGGACUACUUGGCUGCAGUAAUUUAUGGUUUUCUAUGUGACAGCCUAUUUUUGAAUGCUUCGGCUUUUUAUAGUUUCCAGGAUUAGUACUUGCUGCCAAAACAAGAGAUCACUCUCCUUGGACAGACUGUAAUUCAAUAGCACAACUUGGGAGCAAGCCACCUUCCCCUGUGUUCUACCACCCACUUUGGUCACCCUGUGAUACACAGAGGCGCCAUAUCACCUGUCCAGUGGGCACUGUGUAUCCCGCUUGGAUGCAGAUAAAAUGAGCCUGAAAAAGAAUUGAAACCCUGUGAAAUGUAACCAAGAUUCACAUUUACUUGCACUCUCCAUACUACAUUUGGGUGAUUUAAGUAGAGAAGCAUGUUCCGUUUUGUAAAAGAAAAGUCAAAAUUUCAAAAAUAGGCAAGGUGGGAGAAUUUGGUCUGUAUAAAGCUACGGAAUUAGCAUGUGUAUUUCUGCUGGGUUUUCAAAGUACUUUCAUGUCAUCUUAAGCAUCCUUCACUGUCUACUUGUGUGAGUGGGUAAUAUUAUUUUUGCUUGAAGACAAAUGACUUGUUUGUGAUUACACAAUCAGUAAGUGUAAAAAUUAAAGAUUCAAACUUGGAGCUUAUGAUUCCAGAUCACCAAUUUUUCUCUUCUACAUGUUUAACAUGAAGUAUACAAAUGUAAAUGUGUAUAUAUACACAG
rnacentral:lncRNA from 10 species